rnacentral:rRNA from 1 species
AUCGAACGCUGGCGGCAGGCCUAACACAUGCAAGUCGAGCGAGCGGCGGACGGGUGAGUAAUGUAUGGGGACUGCCCGUUAGAGGGGGAUAACUACUGGAAACGGUAGCUAAUACCGCAUACUAUCGGAUAACCCAUAUGGGAUUAGCUAGUAGGGGAGGUAAUGGCUCACCUAGGCGACGAUCCCUAGCUGGGCUGAGCGGAUGAUCAGCCACACUGGGACUGAGACACGGCCCAGACUCCGACGGAGGCAGCAGUGGGGAAUAUGGCGCAAUGGGCGCAAUCCUGAUGCAGCCAUUCCGCGUGUAUGAAGAGGGCCCUGGGGUUGUAAAGUUCGUUCAGUCGGGAGGCGUUACCGACAGAAGAAGCACCGGCUAACUCCGUGCCAGCAGCCGCGGUAAUUC